GAUGAACGCUGGCGGCGUGCCUAAUACAUGCCAGUCGAGCGAACGGACGAGAAGCUUGCUUCUCUGAUGUUAGCGGCGGACGGGUGAGUAACACGUGGAUAACCUACCUAUAAGACUGGGAUAACUUCGGGAAACCGGAGCUAAUACCGGAUAAUAUUUUGAACCGCAUGGUUCAAAAGUAAAAUACGGUCUUGCUGUCACUUAUAGAUGGAUCCGCGCUGCAUUAGCUAGUUGGUAAGGUAACGGCUUACCAAGGCAACGAUGCAUAGCCGACCUGAGAGGGUGAUCGGCCACACUGGAACUGAGACACGGUCCAGACUCCUACGGGAGGCAGCAGUAGGGAAUCUUCCGCAAUGGGCGAAAGCCUGACGGAGCAACGCCGCGUGAGUGAUGAAGGUCUUCGGAUCGUAAAACUCUGUUAUUAGGGAAGAACAUAUGUGUAAGUAACUGUGCACAUCUUGACGGUACCUAAUCAGAAAGCCACGGCUAACUACGUG
rnacentral:rRNA from 1 species